rnacentral:rRNA from 1 species
CGGGUUGUUGCUGGCCCCAAACCGGGCACGUGCACGCCCUGUUUACGCAUCCACUCACACCUGUGCACCCUCUGUAGUUCUGUGGACCGGGAGACGUCGUCUUCCUUCCGUGGCUCUACGUCUUUACACACACGCCGUAGCGAAGUCUCAUGGAAUGUUUUUCGCGUUUAACGCAAUACAAUACAACUUUCAGCAACGGAUCUCUUGGCUCUCGCAUCGAUGAAGAACGCAGCGAAAUGCGAUAAGUAAUGUGAAUUGCAGAAUUCAGUGAAUCAUCGAAUCUUUGAACGCACCUUGCGCCCCUUGGUUAUUCCUCGGGGCAUGCCUGUUUGAGUAUCAUGAACACCUCAACUCUCGUGGUCUUCCAUGAUGAGCUUGGACUUUGGGGGUUUGCUGGCCCUGUGGCCGGCUCCUCUCAAACGAAUCAGCUUGCCAGUGUUUGGCGGCGUCACGGGUGUGAUAACCAUCUACGCUUGCGAUCGCCUGCCAGAUAACCCUCAGCGAUGAAGGUUCAUUGGGGCUCACAAAAGUCUCUCCACGGCGAGGACAAAUUUUGAAUGUUCGAUCUCAAAUCAGGUAGGACUACCCGCUGAACUUAAGCAUAUCAAUAAGCGGAGGAAAAGAAACUAACAAGGAUUCCCCUAGUAACUGCGAGUGAAGCGGGAAGAGCUCAAAUUUAAAAUCUGGCGUGCCUCCGUCGUCCGAAUUGUAGUCUGGAGAAGCGUUUUCGUGCUGGACCGUUCCG